rnacentral:ncRNA from 1 species
AGGUAGAGGCGCGCCGAUUAAGAGUAGCCGCCCGCGUUUUCCUGUCGGAGCAGGGCCCGCGGUGAAAGGAUGAGGUGCCGAAGCCGGUAAUCGUCCGAAGAUUAUCGGGCUGGUAUGCUGCAAAAUAUGCUUCAUACUGUCACGGAACGUGGAGAGCUAUCA